UUGAGCUGAAAUUUUUACGGGUGGUAGUUCUCCCCUAGGACUGGUUUGGUAUUGAAUUUGAGCUAAAUCGGCCGAGCCGUUUAAAAAUGGCGAGCUUUGAAAGUUUUAGGCGAGGGGUGCGCGGCAUGAGGGGAGCCGGCCGGAGCAAAGCCGCACAGUGGGUCGGGGAGAAAGUUUUUGGACAAGCUGAUCGUCGCACAGUGGGUCAGGGGGAAGAAGUUUUUGGACAAAAUUUUCGUCGCACAGUGGGUCAGGGGCAGGACGUUUUUGGACAAAAUUUUCGUCGCACAGUGGGUCAGGGGCAGGACGUUUUUGGACAAAAUUUUCGUCGCACAGUGGGUCAGGGGGAAGACGUUUUUGAACAAGCUUUUCGUCGCUCAGUGGUUCAGGGGAAGGAAGAUUUUGGACAAACUGCGCGUCGCACAGUGGGUCAGGUGAAGAAAGUUUUUGGAAGAACUGUUCGUGGCACAGCGGCCCAAGGAAAGGAAAUAUCUGGAAAAAAACUAUCGAUUACACAAUGACUUACAGACGUACGAUUUUAUGACUACAAAAAUCCCACUUCGGGAAAUACACUUCCUUCCCGCGGUGGAUGCGCGGGACACUUAAAAAGAAGGAAAACUAGAUGUGCAGACGACUCUGAAAAGACGCGCGCGAAGCGCGCGUCCUGGGGGGGUUUGGGGGGGCGAAGCCCCCCCAAAAACCGGCGCGGAGCGAAGCGGAGCGCCGGUUUUUUUUUGUUUCCACUUGAAAAAAAUACAUGAAAAAAAAAAAGAUACAGUUUUUAAUCAAUUCCUAUUUCCUUUUUCCCCUCAUGACAACGGUAGCUUUUAUUCAUUGGAUUUAUGUCUACUUUUUUAGAGUAAAAUAAUGUCUGCACUUUUGAAGAAUUACAUUAUUUUUUGUUUUUGAAUCCUCACUUUUAAUGGACAGAAAUAAGCGGAGAGAGAAUUCACGCAGCGAGGAUGCUCCGUUCCCUGUCUUAAAACGUUGUACUGUCUCAAGAGAAUAGAAUGAAAUUUCACAGCGCUCGAUUAUCUCGGUACAGUUUCAUUAUGCCGGUGAUAGGUUAAAGUGUCCAAACAAAAAUGUCCAAACCCUGAAUGCCUAAAAAUCUAAAAAGGCCAAAUAUCAGUAAUGUCCAGCAGACAAAUAAGUCCAAAAGUAGGUGAAUGUCCAAAUUAAGUUGUUAUGGACAAGAAUACAUUUUUUUUUUUUUCGGCUUUUCAUGACAAACGGGAAAAUAUUAGCCAUGUUUGUUAUGUUUGUCAAUAUCACUUAAAAUUUGGCUAAUAAAUCACAAUGCAUCUUUAAAAGUAGGAAUUUGCCUGCUCUCAUGAAAAAUUUUAUCACCAUAUUUUCCUAAUCUGCAUCUCUCCAUUAUCCAACGCAUCUGUUUCUAUGGCUGCAUUCACGAACAGCUUGCCAGCCUGCACCCAAAAAUCCAAUGACAACUCAACCAAUUCCUAAGCUCACAUUUGGACAUUUCCCUACUUUUGGGCUUAUUUGUCUGCUGGACCCUUAGAUUUGGCCUUUUUAGAUUUUUGGGCAUUCAGGGUUUGGACAUUUUGACCUAUCACCCAUUAUGCCUACUGUGUUGAAAAUGACAAUUUUAAUAGAGCGCAUAUUGACAUUACCUGCAUUUUCAGGCGAUUGGAAGACAUUAAAAAUUAGCCAGAUUCAAAUAGCCUAAAAAUACAACACACAUGUGUAACUCAAUACAAUGAAUUAACAU
rnacentral:lncRNA from 1 species